GCUGUAGUGCGCAUAUAUAUGUAUAAAUGUGUGUGCAUGUAGUGUAUGUGUCAGAUGUGUAUUACAUAAUGCAUAGAGCAGUAUAUGUAUAUAUGGUGGCUACAGUAGUGUGGCCCCUGGGGCUCGCUGGUUAGCUUCUAGUCUGAUCACAACCCCCCAUUAUGCCCUAGACAUGAUUUUGCCUCACUGCCAACUCCACUACCUUGCUGCUUUUCUCCCACCAAGUUCACCUCAUUGUGUAAUAAAGACAGCCCCCAGGAAAAGCCCAGAUCGGAUUAGCACAGGGGGGACUGUUAUUUCUUCUCCCUGGGGAUCCACAGCUUCAAAAAGAUGCUGCUGCCCCAGGCCCUCUCUUUAAAUCAGCAACAACCUAGGCAGACCAACCCCACUGCUCAGGAAACGGGGCUGGAGUCAGUGCUCUGAAAAUGCAGAGGUACUGGGUAAGAAAGAAAAGAAAAGUUGAUGAGUCUCAAAAGCUCAAACAGAAAACUAGAAUUUAUUGAUUUUUUUUUUUCCCCACCUAGCCCUCUAGAACUCAGAUUUCUCGAAUUGCUAUUAAAAACUGCUCAAAUGCAAAUACUGUAGUAUUUCAUCUUCCUGGAGUAUUUUUCUUUGUCAGGAGAUGAAGUGGGUGGAUCUUUUCCUCCUCUAAAAGUCUUUGAAUCAAACUUUAAGGCUCUGAAUUUUGAGCUCCUAAGAGUUAGGUGCAAUGCCAAGUUCUAAGGAAUCCCUCAGGGAAGUCGCAGAGAGGCAAAAGAGUUCGAUGCCCGGCACAGUGGGUUAGGUUGCAACUGUGACUCCAAUGUCUGGCCCAGGAGCUCCAUAUGCUGAAGGCCAAAAAAUCACCCCCCCCCCAAAAAAAAGAAAUAUGUGAGUAUUUGGGAAGGAGGAUAAUAACUCUGAUGUGUGUGUGUGUCGGUAAUAAAGGAAGCAUCUUUACUUCUGGAGAGAAUAGGGAACUGGAUCUUGGCAAGCUCGAUUUCCUCCAUUGUUUUGAGUUGCCCUUUGAACCCACAGGAUGUGGAGGGGAGGGGGGGAGAGCCUGCCGAAAGGAAAUUUCUGUGGCUUCUGUGCUUGAAAGGGUGAUACAAGCAAGGAGAACAAAGAGUGAGGCAAAGCUGCCGAAAGAUGCUAAAACAAAAAGGACUGGAGACGCGAUAAGGCAGGAAUCACCUGUUACUUCUUAGGUUUGAGAGGGCUUUUCUGUAGGGAAUCACGUGGUAAAAGACAAAUGGGUGGAAACUCAUCAUUGAAAAUAAUGCAUUGAUGGAGUUCACCUCGUGGCUCAGCAGAAACAAAUCUGACCAGCAUCCAUGAAGACAGGUGUUCGAUACCUGGCCUUGCUCGGUGGGUUAAGGAUCCGGCGUUGGCCAUGAGCUGUGAUGUAGGUCACAGAUGCGGCUCUGAUCUGGCAUUGCGAUGGUAUAGGUCAGCGGCUACAGCUUCCAACUCAACCACGUAGCAUGGAAACCUCCAUAUGCCAUGGGUGCAGCCCUAAGAAGAC
rnacentral:lncRNA from 1 species